rnacentral:rRNA from 1 species
GUAGGGAAUCUUCGGCAAUGGACGAAAGUCUGACCGAGCAACGCCGCGUGAGUGAAGAAGGUUUUCGGAUCGUAAGACUCUGUUGGUAGAGAAGAACGUUGGUGAGAGUGGAAAGCUCAUCAAGUGACGGUAACUACCCAGAAAGGGACGGCUAACUACGUGCCAC